UAAGCAACGAAGAAUAAUGGCUUCAAAGAAGUGUUCCCUUAUUUUGGUAUUUCUUUUUUUUUUGUAUGUUGAGUUUUUCAUCCAUGGCAUUAGCAAGAAACAUUGCAGCUGAUGCAUCUAAACCUCAUACAUAUGAAAAGGGUCUGAAUGAAAGAGUACUCCUUGUCAAAAAACGACCUCGUCCAUGUACCGCGGGCGAUGGAGAGGAAAGAGACAGUGCACGUUGCCACAAUUUUUAGAAAAAAUAUAUAAAUGUUUUUUUUUUUAUUAUUUAUACUUGAUCGUGAAAAUUCAAAUAAUAAAAUUCUGUAAUUUUUUUAAUUGUAAAUUUUGUUUGUAAGAAUAAUUUGAAGGCAUACAAUGUAGACUGUAGAGACUGUUUAUGAAGCCUUACAAUGUAGAGAUUGUUUCUUUAUUUCCA